rnacentral:lncRNA from 1 species
AGCCUUCUCUUCUGAGAUGUUCUCCAAGCCUUAGGCAUUAUCCACUGGGGCUGGGUACCCCACAGAAAAAGAACUGUGGAUAACAGCCCAAGAUGGUAUUUUGAAGUGAGUAGACACCUGGAGAAUACAGUCUUCCUGCUACCGGGAUGAUGGAUAAACAUCUUCAAUCAAGACAUCCUAAGGACUCCUAUGGGUUUAGAUGAAGGAGACUCUCUGGUUGUGUUUGUUUGGAAGGCGACCUCGGUAAGCAUGGAGCUAGAUGUCAACUGACGAGACGCUUCUGAGAGGGACUCAAAACUGCCGACCUUGGGAAUUUGCUUGAGAGGAGAGAAAUUCUUGGCCACUGAGAGUGCUGAGAAGACAGGGGAGUGAAAAGAAUGUGUCAACAGAGUGAGCCAAGCCCAGGGGACAUGGCAAAGCACCACAAGAAACCAUUGCUCGGCAAAGGACUCCUCAGAUGAGAGUGUACAAAAUAUGAUCAUCCCUCGUCACCAGGGCUAGCCCUAGGAUCCUUGCCCAGGGUGCCACAAUCUUAGAGUACUCAAGUCCCUUAUAUAAACAGCAAAAUGAAUUAGG